rnacentral:sRNA from 1 species
GUGAAAAAAAGAUUUAAAAGCUGUUUUUGUCUUUUAUAUAUCCAUAUUGUUUGAAAGCACUCGAAAUCCUUUACUAACGUGUUGGUACUGUGUAAUAGCUUUUAAACAUUCUGUUCACAAAUUGACAAAAUCAAAAGCAGUCCACAUCUCAUAUACUCAGAUUGGAGGACUAACACUUGAAAGUGGUCCAUUGAUCAUAUAGACACUCUCCCAGUGCAACAACGAUGGACUGACUUCCGUAUUGUUUUCUCAUCAUUACGAUUAUUGUUUUCUCAUCAUUACGACAGAAACUUGAAUCAAACUAAUAAACUAAAAUCAUUAAAAAGUUUUCACCUUUUCACCGUCCACCGGAGCGUUUCCUCCUCCUUAUUCAGCAAGUUUGUUCACCGGAGCCUUUCCUCCUCUCUUUUCAGCAAGUUUGUUCACCGGAACGUUUUUUAGGAGAUCUUUUGUUCUUGUUUCUCUGGAAUGUAGUCCAGCAAGAACAGUAAUGUGCUACGUCAUAGCUUGGAGUUUCUUCUUCUCCUUUUUUUGUAGAGCUUCUCUGGCUGCGUCAGCUUUUUCUGUCGUUUUGAGAGGACUUGUUGACGGCGGCACCGGUCCCGAAAAUUGCACCAAGAAGGUUAAACUUAACUACGUGAAAAAGUACAGAGAGAAACUUUUUCGUUGGUUUAAACAUGGUCGGAAAAUUGAGCGAGAAACAGAGAGAAAGAGAAGUGAGUGAGAGAUUAAGAUCAUCCUCAAUAGAGAGUUAUAAAUCAAGACUCUUAACAAUCUUUAAUGAAUAAAUUUUGAAAUUUUUGCAAAUUUACUUUAGUUGCUUUAGAA